GAACUGAAGAGUUUGAUCAUGGCUCAGAUUGAACGCUGGCGGCAGGCCUAACACAUGCAAGUCGAGCGGAUGAAGGGAGCUUGCUCCUGGAUUCAGCGGCGGACGGGUGAGUAAUGCCUAGGAAUCUGCCUGGUAGUGGGGGAUAACGUCCGGAAACGGGCGCUAAUACCGCAUACGUCCUGAGGGAGAAAGUGGGGGAUCUUCGGACCUCACGCUAUCAGAUGAGCCUAGGUCGGAUUAGCUAGUUGGUGGGGUAAAGGCCUACCAAGGCGACGAUCCGUAACUGGUCUGAGAGGAUGAUCAGUCACACUGGAACUGAGACACGGUCCAGACUCCUACGGGAGGCAGCAGUGGGGAAUAUUGGACAAUGGGCGAAAGCCUGAUCCAGCCAUGCCGCGUGUGUGAAGAAGGUCUUCGGAUUGUAAAGCACUUUAAGUUGGGAGGAAGGGCAGUAAGUUAAUACCUUGCUGUUUUGACGUUACCAACAGAAUAAGCACCGGCUAACUUCGUGCCAGCAGCCGCGGUAAUACGAAGGGUGCAAGCGUUAAUCGGAAUUACUGGGCGUAAAGCGCGCGUAGGUGGUUCAGCAAGUUGGAUGUGAAAUCCCCGGGCUCAACCUGGGAACUGCAUCCAAAACUACUGAGCUAGAGUACGGUAGAGGGUGGUGGAAUUUCCUGUGUAGCGGUGAAAUGCGUAGAUAUAGGAAGGAACACCAGUGGCGAAGGCGACCACCUGGACUGAUACUGACACUGAGGUGCGAAAGCGUGGGGAGCAAACAGG
rnacentral:rRNA from 1 species